rnacentral:rRNA from 1 species
GACGAACGCUGGCGGCGUGCUUAACACAUGCAAGUGGAGCGACGAACCAGGCUUCGGCCUGGGGCAAAGCCGCGAACGGGUGAGUAACACGUGGGUAACCUGCCCCGACGACUGGGACAACCCGGGGAAACCCGGGCUAAUACCGGAUGUGCUCCCUGACCUUGGUCAGGUGAGUAAAGGAAGCUUCGGCCUCCGCAUCGGGAUGGGCCCGCGGCCCAUUAGCUUGUUGGUGAGGUAACGGCUCACCAAGGCCGCGAUGGGUAGCUGGUCUGAGAGGACGAUCAGCCACACUGGGACUGAGACACGGCCCAGACUCCUACGGGAGGCAGCAGUGGGGAAUCUUGCGCAAUGCGCGACAGCGUGACGCAGCAACGCCGCGUGGGGAAGAAGGCCUGGUGUAACC